rnacentral:misc_RNA from 1 species
GAUGAAGAACGCAUCGAAAUGCGAUACGUAAUGUGAAUUGCAGAAUUCAGUGAAUCAUCGAAUCUUUGAACGCAUAUUGCGCUCUUUGGUAUUCCGAAGAGCAUGCUUGUUUGAGUAUCAGUAAACACCUCAACCUCUUCUUGAUUUUUCAAAAGGAGGGUGGACUUGAGCUAUCCCAACAACCUUUACCGGUCGGCGGGCGGCUUGAAAUGCAGGUGCAGCUGGACUUUUAUCUGAGCUAAAAGCAUAUCUAUUUAGUCCUCGUCAAACAGGAUUAUUACUUUUGCUGCAGCUAACAUAAAGGAUAAUUGUCCUCUUUGCUGACUGAUGCAGGAUUUUACGACACUUUAUGUGUUGUUCAACUCGAUCUCAAAUCAAGUAAGACUACCCGCUGAACUUAAGCAUAUCAAUAAGCGGAGGA